UACGAAGGGGGCUAGCGUUGCUCGGAAUUACUGGGCGUAAAGCGUGCGCAGGCGGUUUUGUAAGUCAGAUGUGAAAUCCCCGGGCUUAACCUGGGAACUGCGUUUGAAACUACAAGGCUAGAGUGUGGCAGAGGGGGGUGGAAUUCCACGUGUAGCAGUGAAAUGCGUAGAGAUGUGGAGGAACACCGAUGGCGAAGGCAGCCCCCUGGGUUAACACUGACGCUCAGGCACGAAAGCGUGGGGAGCAAACAGG
rnacentral:rRNA from 1 species